rnacentral:rRNA from 1 species
UUAGCCUACGGGACGCAGCAGUGAGGAAUAUUGGUCAAUGGUCGGGAGACUGAACCAGCCAAGCCGCGUGAGGGAUGAAGGUACAGAGUAUCGUAAACCUCUUUUGUCAGGGAACAAAGGCGGGGACGUGUCCCCGGAUGAGUGUACCUGAAGAAAAAGCAUCGGCUAACUCCGUGCCAGCAGCCGCGGUAAUACGGAGGAUGCGAGCGUUAUCCGGAUUUAUUGGGUUUAAAGGGUGCGCAGGCGGUCUGUUACGUCUGCGGUUAAUG